rnacentral:rRNA from 1 species
AUAGCGUAUAUUAAAGUUGUUGCAGUUAAAAAGCUCGUAGUUGAACUUCAGACCUGGCCGGACGGUCUGCCUAACGGUAUGUACUGUCUGGCUGAGCCUUACCUCUUGGUGAGCCGGCAUGCCCUUCACUGGGUGUGUCGGGGAACCAGGACUUUUACCUUGAGAAAAUUAGAGUGUUCAAAGCAGGCUUACGCCGGAAUACAUUAGCAUGGAAUAAUAGAAUAGGACGUGCGGUUCUAUUUUGUUGGUUUCUAGAGUCGCCGUAAUGAUUAAUAGGGAUAGUUGGGGGCAUUUGUAUUGCGUUGCUAGAGGUGAAAUUCUUGGAUUUACGCAAGACAAACUAUUG